rnacentral:rRNA from 1 species
GAUGAACGCUGGCGGCGUGCCUAAUACAUGCAAGUCGAGCGAACAGACGAGGAGCUUGCUCCUCUGACGUUAGCGGCGGACGGGUGAGUAACACGUGGAUAACCUACCUAUAAGACUGGGAUAACUUCGGGAAACCGGAGCUAAUACCGGAUAAUAUAUUGAACCGCAUGGUUCAAUAGUGAAAGACGGUUUUGCUGUCACUUAUAGAUGGAUCCGCGCCGCAUUAGCUAGUUGGUAAGGUAACGGCUUACCAAGGCGACGAUGCGUAGCCGACCUGAGAGGGUGAUCGGCCACACUGGAACUGAGACACGGCCCAGACUCCUACGGGAGGCAGCAGUGGGGAAUAUUGCACAAUGGGCGCAAGCCUGAUGCAGCGACGCCGCGUGGGGGAUGAAGGCCUUCGGGUUGUAAACUCCUUUCGCUAGGGAAGAAGCCACUUGUGGUGACGGUACCUGGAUAAGAAGCACCGGCUAACUACGUGCCAGCAGCCGCGGUAAUACGUACGGUGCGAGCGUUGUCCGGAAUUACUGUGCGUAAAGAGCUCGUANGUGGAUUGUCGCGUCGUCUGUGAAAUUCCGGGGCUUAACUUCGGGCGUGCACGCGAUACGGGCAUAACUAGAGUGCUGUAGGGGAGACUGGAUUCCCUGUGUAGCGGUGAAAUGCGCAGAUAUCAGGAGGACCACCGAUGUCGANGGCAGGUCUCUGGGCAGUUACUGACGCUGAGGAGCGAAAGCAUGGGUAGCGAACACGAUUAGAUACCUGGGUAGUCCAUGCCGUAAACGGUGGGCGCUAGGUGUGGCGGUUUUAUUUACGAUUCCCGUGCCGUAGCUAACGCAUUAAGCGCUCCGCCUGGGGAGUACGGCCGCAAGGCUAAAACUCAAAGGAAUUGACGGGGGCCCGCACAAGCGGCGGAGCAUGUGGAUUAAUUCGAUGCAACGCGAAGAACCUUACCUGGGCUUGACAUACACCGGAUCGCUGCAGAGAUGUAGUUUCCCUUGUGGCUGGUGUACAGGUGGUGCAUGGUUGUCGUCAGCUCGUGUCGUGAGAUGUUGGGUUAAGUCCCGCAACGAGCGCAACCCUUGUCUUGUGUUGCCAGCACGUUAUGGUGGGGACUCGCGAGAGACUGCCGGGGUUAACUCGGAGGAAGGUGGGGAUGACGUCAAAUCAUCAUGCCCCUUAUGUCCAGGGCUUCACACAUGCUACAAUGGUCGGUACAGUGGGUUGCGAUGCCGUGAGGUGGAGCUAAUCCCUUAAAGCCGGUCUCAGUUCGGAUUGGAGUCUGCAACUCGACUCCAUGAAGUCGGAGUCGCUAGUAAUCGCAGAUCAGCAAUGCUGCGGUGAAUACGUUCCCGGGCCU